UGUGUGAUUGCUGGAUCAUAUGGUAAGACUGUCUAGUUUUGUAGGAAAUUGCCAAACUGUCUUCCAAAGUGGCUGUACCAUUUGGUAUUCCCACCAGCAAU
rnacentral:pre_miRNA from 1 species